rnacentral:misc_RNA from 1 species
UCCGGUUUGACACCGGCAGUCCCCUUAGAGUCCUCGGCAUAACCCGUUAGUAACUAAGGGCAAAGGUUUCGCUCGUUAAGGGACUUAACCCGACAUCUCACGACACGAGCUGACGACAGCCAUGCAGCACCUGUGCAGUUCGUGUAUUGCUACACCACCCGCUUUCACGGAUUGAACACUGCAUGUCAAGCCCAGGUAAGGUUCUGCGCGUUGCUUCGAAUUGAACCACAUGCUCCACCGCUUGUGUGAGCCCCCGUCAAUUCCUUUGAGUUUUAGCCUUGCGACCGUACUUCCCAGGCGGUCCACUUAACACUUUUGCUUCGACCGUGAAGGCGUCAGAGCCUCCACAAUCUAGUGGACAUCGUUUAGGGCCAGGACUA